GGCAGGGUUGAGGGAUGUAACCCUCCUUUUCCAGCUCUGGAAGAAGAAUGUUCAACAAAGAGUAGAUCUGGGCAGACUCUGAAUGACUUUCAUCUGCAGCAACGAACAAAUGGGUUAUGUUAUUGAGCUCAAUCCAGCUAUACCCGGGUAUCUUCUGAGCUCCUCUUUCUUUCAUUAAACGUCGUAUCUUAUUCACAUUUCCCCACUGUCCAGCAUCAGCAUGUAUAUUUGAAAGCAGCACAUAGUAGCCUGAGUUUUGUGGGUCUAAAUCAAACAGAUGACUUGAAGCCACUUCAGCUAGCUCAACAUUGCCAUGGACCCGACAUGCUCCCAGCAAUGUUCCCCAGACACCUGCAUCAGGUGCAAAUGGCAUACUGUUUAUGGUCUCUAAUGCCUUAUUCAAACGACCAGCACGCCCAAACAA
rnacentral:lncRNA from 1 species